CCUACGGGUGGCAGCAGUGAGGAAUAUUUGUCAAUGGGCUUACGCCUGAACGAGCCAAGUCGCGUGAGGGAAGACUGCCCUAUGGGUUGUAAACCUCUUUUGUCAGGGAGCAACGCCGGCUACGUGUAGCCUGACUGAGAGUACCUGCAGACAAAGCAUCGGCUAACUCCGUGCCAGCAGUCGCGGUAAUACGGGGGAUGCGAGCGUUAUCCGGAUGUAUUGGGUGUAAAGGGUGCGUAGGCGGAAUGCCAAGUCGGCGGUAAAAUCGCGGGGCUCAACCGCGCUCCGCCGUUGAAACUGGCGGUCUGGAGUGGGCGAGAGGUAAGCGGAAGGCGUGGUGUAGCGGUGAAAUGCAUAGAUAUCACGCAGAACUCUGAUGGCGAAGGCAGCAUACCGGAGCCCAACUGACGCUGAAGCACGAAAGCGUGGGGAGCGAAAAGGAUUAGAUACCCCUGUAGUC
rnacentral:rRNA from 1 species